AUUGAACGCUGGCGGCAGGCCUAACACAUGCAAGUCGAGCGAGCGGCGGACGGGUGAGUCAUGUCUGUGAAACUGCCUGUUGGAGGGGGAGAACUACUGGAACCGGUAGCUCAUACCGCAUACAAUCAGAUGUGCCCAGAUGGGACUAGCUGGUAGGGGGGGUAACGACUCACCAAGCCGACGAUCCCUAGCUGGUCUAAGCGGAUGACCAGGCACACUGGAACUGAGACACGGUCCAGACUCCUACGGGAGGCAGAAGUGGGGAAUAUUGAACAAUGGGUGAAAGCCGGAUGCAGCCAUGCCGCGGGUGUGAAGAAGGCCUUCGGAUUGUAAAGCACUUUCAGCGGGGAGGCGUUACCAGCAGAAGAAGCACCGGCUAACUCCGUGCCAGCAGCCGCGGUAAUAC
rnacentral:rRNA from 1 species